AACGAACGCUGGCGGCAUGCCUAACACAUGCAAGUCGAACGAGACCUUCGGGUCUAGUGGCGCAGGGGUGCGUAACGCGUGGGAACCUGCCCUUAGGUUCGGAAUAACUCCCCGAAAGGGGUGCUAAUACCGGAUAAUGUCUUCGGACCAAAGAUUUAUCGCCUUUGGAUGGGCCCGCGUUGGAUUAGCUAGUUGGUAGGGUAAAAGCCUACCAAGGCGACGAUCCAUAGCUGGUCUGAGAGGAUGAUCAGCCACACUGGGACUGAGACACGGCCCAGACUCCUACGGGAGGCAGCAGUGGGGAAUAUUGGACAAUGGGCGAAAGCCUGAUCCAGCAAUGCCGCGUGAGUGAUGAAGGCCUUAGGGUUGUAAAGCUCUUUUACCCGGGAUGAUAAUGACAGUACCGGGAGAAUAAGCUCCGGCUAACUCCGUG
rnacentral:rRNA from 1 species